UGAGGAACAUGACCUUCGGCGGGGGAUAGCCGGCCCAACGGCCGGGUAAUACCGCGUACGCCCUUCGAGCGGCAUCGCUUGAUGGGGAAAGUCGCAAGACGCCGAUGGAGAACUUCGCGGCCUAUCAGCUAGUUGGUGAGGUAACGGCUCACCAAGGCAACGGACGGGUAGCUGGUCUGAGAGGAUGGCCAGCCACAUUGGGACUGAGACACGGCCCAGACCUCCGUACGGGGAGGCAGCG
rnacentral:rRNA from 1 species